ensembl:lncRNA
CGGUUUCUCGGGAUGCGCUGGGCGCUGAGGCCAGCGGUGACCCGCGCGCUGGGCGCAGCGCAACCGGAACCUGUCCUUCCCCUAUCCAACCGCCCUGUUGGUAGCUAAGGGAAUCCUGCCCCCCGCCCCGGCGUCUGGCCGGAGAGGGUAGGGGAAGAGGCAAGUAGGGAGGCGGCUUGCUGUAACCCUCCGGUGCGGCUGUAGCGGGAGGCGUUUACCGUUCUGAGGAGCGUCCGUUUGAAAGCCCUAGUAACUGAAACCUAUUGGAGGUUAGUUCGCCACUGGAAACUACCAAAGGGCCUUUCUUUUAUCCACCCCACUACCUCUGUGCAGCCUCACUUAACCUCACACCUCAGGUGAGGGGGAAAUCAGAGAAAGACCAGCAGCUUGCCAGUGCUGGUAGCCUCAUUGCCAGUUUCUUCAUCCUUAAAGCUACAGAUAAUCUGACACUACUCAGAACAUCUAAGCCUUCAACAUUAACCAUCAGAAGACUUUCUCUAUCCAUUCUGAGACGUGGCACAAACAUGUCGUUUUUUCUGACAAUAUCCUGUUGUGACAUCUUCUCCUACUGAAGUUCAUCUGUGGAUAGAAGGUUUUGGAAGUAUCUAUUGACAUAUACUCAAGCUCAGAGGUUCUUUCCUCAGUCUACUAAUGAGGCCAUCAAAGGCAUUGUUCAUUUCUGUUACAAUGUUUUUGAUCUCUUGCCUUUGUUUUUGAAUCUUUGUUAGCAUUUUCAUUUCUCCAUGUUAUUCAUCUAUUCUUGCAUGUUGCCUACUUUUUCCUUUAGAACCCUUAGCAAAUUAAACAUAGUUGUUUUAAAUUCUCAGUAUGAUAAUUCUAAUAACUUUGCCAUGUCUUAAGUCUGGUUCUGAUGCUUGCUCUGUCUCUUUAAACAUCUUUUGUUUUGUUUUUUUUUUACCUGUUAGUGUAUCUUGUAUUUUUUUGGUUGAAAGUUAGACAUGAUGUACUGGGUGAAGGGAACUCUGGCAAAUAGGUCUUUAGUGAUUUAGUGACACAACUUAGGGGAAAAGGAGGCAUUCAUAUUGCUAUGAUUAGGCCUUAGCUUUGGUGAGCCUGUGACCUUGGGCUGUGACCUUUAUAGGUAAUUCUUAGUGUUUUUCUCCACCUUUAGUGGGACAGAAUAGCUCAUGGUUUCUGGAAAUUCUCAUCCCCACCUGGAAGACAGAGCAUGCUGGAGAAAGCUAUUUCACUUCCCCAAGUAGUUUAGGGGUGUCCCUGGUGGCUCAGACAAUAAAGGAUCUGCCUACAAUGUGGGAGACCUGGGUUUGAUCCUUGGGUUUGGAAGAGCCCCUGGAGAAGGGAAUGACAAUCCACUUCAGUAUUCUUGUCUGGAGAAUUCCAUGGACAAAGGAGCCUGGUGGGCUACAGUCCAAGGGGUUGCAAAGAGUUGAACAGGACUGAAUGACUAACACACACACACACACACACACACACACAAAUAGUUUAGAGUCUGGUCAAAACUCCAAUAGGUAAGAUGUUAGUAAAUAUUUUUUUUCUUGAGUUCAGUCUUGGCAGGAAAGGUAUAACAAACCCAGACAGUGUGAUGAAAAGCAGAAACAUUACUCUGCCGACAAAGGUCCAUAUAGCCAAGACUAUGGUCUUCCAAGUGGUCAUGUACAAUAGUAAGAGAUAGAUGGUAAGGAAGGCAGAACACCAAAGAUUUGAUACCGUAGAACUGUGGUGCUGAAGAAGACUCUUGAAAGUCCCCUGGACAGCAAGAAGAUCAAACCAGUCAAUGUCAAGGGAAAUAAACUGAGUAAUCAUUGGAAGGACUGAUGCCAAAGCUCCAGUAUUUUGGUCAUCUAAUGCAAACAUCCAACUCAUUGGAAAAGUCCCUGAUGCUGGGAAAGAUUGAGGGUAGAUGGAGAAGACAAUGUCAGAGGAUGAGAUGGCUGGAUGGCGUCACUGAUGAUGACAUGAACUUGGGCAAACUUUGGCAGAUGGUGAGAGACAGGGAGGCGUGGCAUUCUGCAGUCCAUGGGGUUGCAAAGAGUCAGACUCAAAUGAGUGAUUGAACAACAGCAAGAGCUAAAUGCUGUGGUCUGUUUUAAAAAGGUUCUUUUUUCCCUUCCCCUGAUUGAAGCAUAAAUUUUUUUUCUUUGAUAUUCACUAUAAGAACCCAGUAGGGCUCCUGUUGGUAAAACUCACAAAAAUGUGAGGAGCUCUGUAUUACUAGACCCUCUCCCCCAGAGUUUUAAACUUUUAUGCAUAUCCACAAUGACUCUCCAGCAAUUCAGUUAUAGUCUAGAUUUUUCUACUCCAUUAUUGGUUCCCAGGAAGGUUUCUGCUCAUAAUGAAGGUGAUAUUUUUGAAAAGCUUUGAUUCUCUUUAUCCAGUUGUUCAUCUUUCAAUAUUUGGGGGCAGCAGUUUGCCCUGUGACCUUGCUUUUAUGAUGGAUCUAAGAAGACUUGUUGAGUUUUCAGUUUGUUCAGAUUUUUAUUUUUGUGAAGAUACAGCAAUGACUUCCAAGAUAUUUACAUUCCAGACUAGAAAUCAGAAGUCCUUAUGGGUUUGAGUUUUUAUAUCUUAGUGAAAUAAUAGAAUGUAGAGCAUGUCUGAUGCAAUUUUCAAACAUUCAAGUAUCUUUCAUGUCAAUUAUAAAUAAAAUGAUAUAUAACUCAGUUUGUGAUCUGGGUACCUUGUGGUCAUAUUCCUUUUAAUUCUGUCCUUGAAUGAAGUAAUUUUCUACAUUCUAAAAUGCAAAUAGUUGAUAAAGUUGGGUUUUUUUAAUCUUGCAGUUAAUUAUAAUGCAUUUGCUUAUUCUCUGAAAAAGACAACAUCCAGCACUAAAUCAAAGAUAUUUUAUGUCACCAAUUUGCUUCUGCUUUGUUAGAGUGGUCAUGAAAAGUCAAAGUGAAAGUUUUAAGUCACUCAGUCAUGCAUGACUUUUUGUUACUCCAUGGACUAUAAACCACUAGGCUCCUCUGUCCAUGGAAUUCUCCAGGUAAGAAUACUGGAGUGGGUAGCCAUUCCCUUCUCCGAGGCGUCCUCCAACUCAGGGAUUGAACCCAAGUCUCCUGCACUGCAGGAAGAUUCUUUACCAUCUGAGCCACCAGGGGAGCUCUACACAGCCUUGCAAAAUGGUAAAACUCCAUGCAAAUUACAAAUUUGUGUAAAUUGAAAAUAAUUCUACCUCUGACAAGUACACUAAACCAUGAUUUUCAGUGAUGCAUUAAAGAAUGUUUAUAUAUGAUAUGAAUGGAAUGCCUGAAUAACUUGUAUACAGUUAUAAUGAGAAAAAAUAGUUUCGGUGUGUAAAAUAACCUCUUUCAUCAGAGAGGACAUAUAUUUCUCCUUAAUAAGAUACAAAGAUACACCAAAAAUUAGUGGGAGAUUCAGUUUGAAUUGAAUCAACUUAGAAUAGUUAUAGAUUCAGCUUAAGGAUUUAUUUGGUAUGUUAUUUCCUGGCCUCAGGCAGGCUGGAGGGAGGAUAAAAGGAGAGACAAGAAAUGGAGAGGAGGGAACUCUCUGGCAUUCCAGUGGUUAGAACUCUGAGCUUUCACUGCUGAGUGCCUGGGUUCAGUCUCUGAUUGGGGUACUAAGAUCCCAUAAGUCACAUAGCAUGGCUAAAAAAAGAAAAGAAAAAAAAUAGGAAGAAAGCUGAUAUCAGUUGAUAAUUUUAGUAUUCCUAUUACACAAUCCCUGACAAACUCUUUAAAUCUAUUGCUUAUCACUAAAUCACUACCUGCUUUAAGACUGCUUUAAACUAACUGUGAAUCUCAUUAAUUUCUUAACUGUGAAUCUCACUAAUUUCUUAAACUGUUAGUACCAGUCCUUUCCAAUUUUUUUUAAUUAGCUUGCAUACCUGGAAAAUAUGGUAUGGUAGAUGCUAAUUACCUAUAAGGAAGAUGGCUUAAUUGCAUAGAAGUGUAGAAGAUAAAAAUAUAAAACAAUAUUUUUCAAGAUGGUGUAUUGUGAAAGUUAGGUAUAUAUUAACUAUGAAGUAAUCUUCAUAUGAAGUAUGGGAAUUCAGUUGUUUGUGUUCCCAAGCAGAGCUCCACUGAAUACUCUCUAGCUUUGUGUCUGAUAGUCACAUACCACAACACAACAUUAACUAGGUGCCACUUAAUAAAAUAUAUUUCUUUACAAGAUUUUUUCAUUAUUGAAGAUGUUUUAGUUUUGAAUGGAUAGAGACUGUACCUUCCAGCUGGAUUCAUCUGGAAAAAAAGUUCUCUAAAAAUAAUGCUUCUUUUAAGGUCAUUAGUUGGAACUUAGUUCUGCCAAUAUGCAUAUAACUUUAUUGAACAUUUUAAUGUAUAUAAUAACAUGCAAGUAACAUUUGUUGUGUAUUAAGAAAACAUGGUGAGGAAAAAAUAAGAAAGUAAGAAUUAUCCAUUCAGAUCAGUUCAGUCGCUCAGUCCUGUCCAGCUCUUGGCAACCCCAUGGACUGCAGCAUGCCAGGCUUCCCUGUCUAGCAACAACUCCCUGAGUUUGCACAAACUCUUGUCCAUUGAGUCGGUAAUGCCAUCCAACCAUCUCAUCCUCCGUUGGCCCCUACCAUUCUUCAGUCUUACCCAGCAUCUGGGUCUUUUCCAAUGAGUCAGUUCUUCCCAUCAGGUGACCAAAGUAUUGGAGCUUCAGCUUCAGCAACAGUCUUUCUGAUGAAUAUCCAGGACUGAUGUCCUUCAGGAUUGACUGGUUGGAUCUCCUUUCAGUCCAAGGAACUCUCAAGAGUCUUCUUCAACACCACAGUUCAAAAGCAUCAAUUCCAUGGCUCUCAGCCUUUUUUAGCAUCCAACUCUCACAUCCAUGCAUGACUACUGGAAAAAAACAGAGCUUUGACAAGAUGGACCUCUGUUGGCAAUGUAAUGUCUCUGGUUUUUAAUAUGCUGUCUAGGUUGGUCAUAGCUUUUCUUCCAAGGAGCAAGCGUCUUUUAAUUUCAUGGCUGCAGUCAUCAUCCACAGAGAUUUUGGAGCCCAAGAAAAUAAAAUCUCUCACUGUUUCUACUGUUUCCCCAUCCAUUUACCAUGAAGUAAUGGGACCAGAUGCCAUGAUCUUUGUUUUUUGAAUGUUGAAUUUUAAGCCAGCUUUUUCACUCUCCUCUUUUACUUUAAUCAAGACAAUCUUUAGUUCCUCUUCACUUUCUGCCAUAAAGGGUGGUAUCAUCUGCGUAUCUGAUGUUAUUGAUUUUUCUCCUGGUAAUCUUGAUUCCAUAUUGUGCUUCAUAGAGCCUGGCAUUUUGCAUGAUGUACUCUACACAUCAGUUAAAUAAGCAGAGUGACAAUAGACAGCCUUGACAUACUCCUUUCCCAGUUUGGAGCCAGUCUAUUGUUCCAUGUCCGGUUCUAACUGUUGCUUCUUGACCUGCAUACAGAUUUCUCAGGAGGCAGGUAAGGUGGUCUGGUAUUCCCAUCUCUUGAAGAAUUUUCCACAGUUUAUUGUGAUACACACUGUCAAAGGCUUCUGCUAAGUUGCUUCAAGUUGGACCUGACUGAAGUGACUUAGCAGUAGCAGCUGUAGUCUAUUAAGUGCACAGUAGCAUUAUUGCUUAAAAACUAGAGCCUUCAGUAAUUCAUAGUAGUAGCAUCAAAGAUCACUGAUCACAGAUCAUGAUAACAAAUAUAAUAAUAAUGAAAAAGUUUGAAACAUUUAAGUGUUAUCAAAAUGUGACACAGACAUGAAGUAAAUAAAUGCUGUUGGAAAAAUGGCACCAAUAGAAUUGCUUGAUGCAGAAUUGUCACUAAACUUUAAUUUCUAAAACAUAAGAAAGUGGUAUCUGUGAAGCACAAUAAAGUACGAUAAAAUGACGUAUGCCUGUAUAUGCUUAUAGAUAAUUUUACCUGCCUAAACAUGUCCAGUUAUGUCUUUUUCCUUUUACAACAUGUACAGUUUUCAGAAUUCCAGCAUUUAUUGCAGUUUAUUGGUAAACUGUGUGAUUUGAUUCUAACAGUAACUGAAUAGAGAAUUAAAGCAUUUUGGGGAGAGGUCUUUAUUAAAUAUCUCUGGCAUUAGGUUCUAAGUUCCCUCAUGUCAAUACUUUUCAUAAAAUGAAUCAAGUCUAAUUAACAAAUUUAUUUUUAAUGUCUUUUGCUCAUUCACUGGCUCAGUCAACACAUUUUUCU